AACACUGUUAACCUGCGGUACCUGCGGAGGGAUCAUUAUAGUAUAUGGAAUCUCCAUUCUAUAAACCCACUCUGCGUAUCUUGUAACUGUUGCUUCCAUGGGACUUGGUUCCGCCACACCGGCUUCACGGCUGGUGAGCGCCCAUGGAAGGAGAAACAAAACUCUUCUUUGAAAUGUAGUCAGUCUGAACAAGUUUUUAUAAGCGUUAAAACUUUUAACAAUGGAUCUCAGAUCGGAAGA
rnacentral:misc_RNA from 1 species